rnacentral:rRNA from 1 species
CGGAUCGUAAAACUCUGUUGUUAGAGAAGAACAAGGAUGAGAGUAACUGUUCAUCCCUUGACGGUAUCUAACCAGAAAGCCACGGCUAACUACGUGCCAGCAGCCGCGGUAAUACGUAGGUGGCAAGCGUUGUCCGGAUUUAUUGGGCGUAAAGCGAGCGCAGGCGGUUUCUUAAGUCUGAUGUGAAAGCCCCCGGCUCAACCGGGGAGGGUCAUUGGAAACUGGGAGACUUGAGUGCAGAAGAGGAGAGUGGAAUUCCAUGUGUAGCGGUGAAAUGCGUAGAUAUAUGGAGGAACACCAGUGGCGAAGGCGGCUCUCUGGUCUGUAACUGACGCUGAGGCUCGAAAGCGUGGGGAGCAAACAGGAUUAGAUACCCUGGUAGUCCACGCCGUAAACGAUGAGUGCUAAGUGUUGGAGGGUUUCCGCCCUUCAGUGCUGCAGCUAACGCAUUAAGCACUCCGCCUGGGGAGUACGACCGCAAGGUUGAAACUCAAAGGAAUUGA